rnacentral:snRNA from 1 species
GAAACUAACAAGGAUUCCCUUAGUAAC